GAGUGAGCACACCACCUUGAGAACCACAGGUCCACAUAGAUCAGUGGUUCUCAGGCCUUGCAGCAAUCCGGAAUCACCGUGGAGGACGACAAGAAGGAAGAUGCCCAUCGCAGACCAACUGAAUCAGAAUCUCCAGGGGUGAUUCUGAUGCACACCACAGAGGGUUCAUGAAGGCCAAGGAGACAUUGAGAUCUCCCAGGAAAGAGAGAAAGAGUGAGUGCAAAACACAGUCCCAAACCCCAAAGCAUCUUACUAUUGAGCACCAAAAGUCUGUACUUCCUGUAGUAAAGAAUGCGCUUAAUUGAACUCUAAUGAGCUUUCCACUACUGGCCGCACUCCGGCCCACGGAAUACAUGAAUCACUUGUCCUUAUGCAGUGCAAGAGUCCUCCACUAAUGUUUGGAGCCCUAAACGUAGCCACUUGAGCUUCCCAUCUAUCAGGCAUAGUUAGGGAUCCCAGAAGCCUCACAUAGCCUGGCGAUAAAACAGUCAGAGAAAGAGCUGGAAGGCAAUAGGUGACAAACCCCAGCCCUUCCUAGAUGUCGCUGUGGACAAUGGAUGCUGUCUCCUAGAAACAAUCCCUUCCCUUGCACCCCAAGACCGGAUGAAGUGAACAUUUCUGAAACACGUCCAGGAGACAGACUGUUCUCUGGGAGGCUACGAGCUGUCUCUUCUAGCAAAGAAGGGAAAAACGAUGAGUGCCCGGAAGUCAGAUCACUGGAUUAAAAGAAGCAGCCCGUGUCUCCUAUUUGUACACUUGAUUUCUAAACAUCAUUUAAAUGCAACAGCGAGAAAAUAGAGUAAUUCAGGAGCAGCAGAUAGGAACCUGAUUCCAGUCACUCUCUGGACAAGACAUUUUCUCUCAACAAUCCAGAGGCCCUUGAAAUGUGCACUUAACCAUACAACGUGUUUUGUGUGUCAGUGGCACAGUCUCUUUGUUGAGAAUUAAUUGUAUGUGCCUUCACUCCUGUUGAAACUACCCUCUGAGAAGCCUGGCAGACUUCCAGGGACCCCGGCCCCUGGAACUGACACCCAAGUUCGGGACUUCUUAGUGACUCGGAAUCUGAGAGCUGGACAUUCACACAGUGUUCUUGCUUAAAGGUUCUCUUUGCCGUAAGCUACCCGAGAAGUCAUCACAACGUACAGAGGACAAUGAGCUCUUCACUUCCCGUGAAGUCACCCCCCCCCCCCCCCCCCCCCGUCACUCCAAGGGCACCUUCUUUGCGUUUGUGCACAUCAAAGAAGCUUGAGGGCAAGAUCAUAGCCCCCUGGCCCAGCCCUAGAUUGCCAGCACACAGUGAGGUCAACAACAACAGAAUGCUUUCCCGAUUCAUGGUAAUUCAUCUUCAAAGGAACAGUCCCCUCUCUGAAGGAUCCUCAGGCAUUUUAAGAUGAGUUCCAUCAAAUCGGGCUCAUAAAAGCCCUUCCGGCUUAAUUAAUUUGCUCCAGGUAACUUGUAUAGAAAGCCUGAACACAAAAGAAAAUUAAAAUACGUCCCAAAGUGGUGGUGUUCUCCAUCCCUUGUUGAACAGGGUAAAGAAAUUUGGACAUUUCUCUGAA